UACGUAGGGCGCAAGCGUUGUCCGGAAUUAUUGGGCGUAAAGAGCUCGUAGGCGGUCUGUCGCGUCCGUCGUGAAAGCCCACAGCUCAACUGUGGGUCUGCGGUGGAUACGGGCAGACUAGAGGCAGGUAGGGGAGAACGGAAUUCCCGGUGUAGCGGUGAAAUGCGCAGAUAUCGGGGGGAACACCGGUGGCGAAGGCGGUUCUCUGGGCCUGUACUGACGCUGAGGAGCGAAAGCGUGGGGAGCGAACAGG
rnacentral:rRNA from 1 species